rnacentral:rRNA from 1 species
CCGACGGUGAGGGGUGAAAGCUGGGGGCACGAACCGGAUUAGAUACCCGGGUAGUCCCAGCCGUAAACGAUGCUCGCUAGGUGUCUGGGAUGGUGCGACCGUUUCAGGUGCCGCAGGGAAACCGUGAAGCGAGCCACCUGGGAAGUACGGCCGCAAGGCUGAAACUUAAAGGAAUUGGCGGGGGAGCACUACAACGGGUGGAGCCUGCGGUUUAAUUGGACUCAACGCCGGAAAACUCACCUGGGGC